UCGCCUCCCCCUCCCCCAUCAUCCCCUCCUCCUCCUCCUCGUCGGAGUCCUCGUCGAACUCCCGGAACGCCGCCUCGAAGUCAUCGGCGCGCCCGCCGCCGCCCUUCUUCUUGGCCUUCCCAGGCCACACAUGCGCCGCCGUCACCCGCCUCGCCGCCGGCGCGCUCGGUAUGAGCUCCGCAAGGAUCGCUCCGCCGCACAUCUUGCUCAGCCGUCUUCUUCUUCUUCCUCCUCAAGCUACUCUCUGGUCUCUUGCUCGCUUAGCUUGCUUUUGCCUUCGCUUUUGUGUGUGGGUUGGUUGUGAGGUUGAGGCGAGCAGGCGGCGGUGUUAAAUAGGGAGGGAGGAGGAGCGCGUCCUCCGAUUUCGCGGGAAAAAGAAAUCGU
rnacentral:lncRNA from 1 species